rnacentral:rRNA from 1 species
AGAGGGUGCAAACGUUGUUCGGAAUUACUGGGCGUAAAGCGCGUGUAGGCUGCUUCGCAAGUCGGAUGUGAAAGCCCUGGGCUCAACCCAGGAAGUGCAUUCGAAACUGCAGAGCUGGAGUCCUGGAGAGGAAGGCGGAAUUCUCGGUGUAGAGGUGAAAUUCGUAGAUAUCGAGAGGAACACCGGUGGCGAAGGCGGCCUUCUGGACAGUGACUGACGCUGAGACGCGAAAGCGUGGGGAGCAAACAGGAUUAGAUACCCUGGUAGUCCACGCCGUAAACGAUGGGUGCUAGGUGUUGCGGGCUUUGACCCCUGCAGUGCCGUAGCUAACGCAUUAAGCACCCCGCCUGGGGAGUACGGCCGCAAGGCUA